rnacentral:piRNA from 1 species
CUUACCACGCCACCACCGGCCCACUGAG